rnacentral:lncRNA from 1 species
UUUCUGGAUCCCUCUACUGUACACGUGGUACGAUGGAUGACAGGGAGGGCAAAAUUCAGGCAGGAGGACAGUCACCUAGCAGGGACUAGGUCCCAAGGAUGGUAGGCAGAGGGGAGGAGACCCAGGGCUGAGUAGGGUGUCUGGCAGGUGCACAGGGAUGUACCAACAGUAACAGACAGUGCUAAUGAAGGUUCCAUGUUAUAAAGUGAUGAGCCAGAACUGAGAACUGAGAGCCAGGAUGCGCUGGCUCCGUGGAUCUCUUGCUCUUGAUCCCCAGGCACAAGCAUUACCACCUAGCCUUCCUACAGAGUGGAUGUUGACCUACUUGACCACGAGUCAGCCCAGAUCCAGGGAAGUGAAGCUGCUGAAUUCAAAGUCAAGGGCAAGACUGGGCAGAUGAGACUCAAGCUGUAACCAGGAUUCUCCCCACAUCCUGCCCCCUAGGGGCUGUAGAUAGGCUUAGCUGUACCUACAUAAUGUCUGAUCUUCAGGGAACCUCUUGAGACACCGUGCAUUAGACUCAAAGUGUGGGGACAGCAGCUCCGGAAAGCUAUUUAGUUCCUUCUCUCUCUACGUGGGACAAGCUUAGUAUACAGUGACGUUUGGACUGGUUAAGGGGUGUGACCUUGGCUCUCUCAGAUACCACGAUAAGCACA